rnacentral:lncRNA from 1 species
UCGCCUCCUCUCAAUCCCUAAUUCCCAAAUCCCCCAUAUCCAUAUGAAAAUUCCAUGCUGGUCUCUGGUGGAAUUCCAGAGAGACGAGCCGCCAAAUCAGCGGGAUUUUGGUCUAAUCUGUUGCACGAUUGUGCGGCAUAACCUGGUGCCAAUCCACCAAGCCUAGAUCGGUUCUUCUCAGGUAUGCCUCGUGACGCACAUGUGUAUUAGAUUUAGUCUUUAGACUAAAUUUCGCUACCGAACUAAUUUGAAAAUUUUGCUGUUCUCUUCCUUGAUUCAUGUACAACUAGGAGGUUAUGGACAUAUUUUUGUUAAAACGGCCACUACCAUCAGAUGCAGCAGGGACUUCAAGGCCACUUAGACUUAGGCAAGAUAAUGGUCAUAUAUCAAGUGUUUGUAUUAUUACUCCAGCUAAAAUAAAUUUAGAUGAUCUUCCUCCCGAUCCAGCUGAUUGAAAAAGAAUAUCAUAGUACGCGAAGAAUCAUAAGAAGCAAGACGAGAUUAGAUGGAGAUAUUUAACUAGAUGACUUUACAUGCCACAAGAAGUCUUUAAAUAUCCGCACAAGACAAUAGUAGGAUUUGAACAAAAAAAUAAUCUAGAAUGGUUUAAAGACUAUCAUUGCCUAGAGUGGUAAUGUGCAUAAGGCAUUUUGUUUGUGUUGCUAUCUAUUCAUACUUUCAUAGAUUGCAUCGACGACCAAGGUGGUAAUGAUGCAUUUGUUGUUAAUGGUUUCUCUAAUUGGAAUAAGAAAAGCAGACUAGAUAAUCAUGUGGGUGAGGAGUUCAUGAGUGAUUGCCUGAUUUUGUACGUGAUGAAGGAUAUAUUUUCUAGAAUUACGAAUGAUAUUGUGAUGGAUCUAUUUAAGAAGAUGAAAGAUCGAGAAGAAAAGUUAUAAAAUGUGAGCCCCGUGUCACUUCAUAUUUUGCUUAAUGAUGUUUAUUUUCUGUAUUACUUGUUUUGUACCAUUGUUGUAAAUAUAAUAUGUUCUGUCGUUCAUUCUUUUCAGGAAGAAACAACUAAAAUUCUUGAAGUCACCAUUUUGCUUAUUAUUUUCUGACUAUGUCAAGAAGUGGCUAUACGACUUCACUCAGCGCGUGCUUGGUAUGACAAUUUUUUAUGUAAUGAUAAUAUUGUUGGAUCAUCGCAUGUUUUUGCUCUUUGUCCGCUCUCUAACAUUAUGUGUGCUGCACCGCUAUAGUUUGUGCUAGAGUGGGCAGAGCUUGACACCAGUGCCCAUUUUUUCUAGCUUCGUCCCUGCAUUUCUCAAGUUAUGUUGAUUUCUGGAGUGCAAGUGCCUUCGUAUAUUUUAAAUUAAAUUUUCGCCUUGGUAACUUGAAUUCGUGGAUCCGCCACUGCACACAAAUCAUACACACAUGCCAGUAGGAAUUAAAUGGAAUGCAGGGACUUACGCUAGCUCGUUGUAUUGGCUCACUGCAGCUCUGCUUGCGCUUGGGAUGUUCCAUGUACAAGUCCAUGUUACCACUUGCUUGGAUGUGUAGGCCUUAUGCUCCUUGCAUCCCCCUCUACAUUUUUGACAUAGUGAAUGGUUGAUCAAAUAAGAG